rnacentral:rRNA from 1 species
UGAAACCCAAAGAGUUUGGCGGUACUUUAGUCUAGUUAGAGGAGCUUGUUCGGUAAUUGAUAAUCCUCAAAAAAUCUUACGUGUUUUGUAGUCAGUUUAUAUACCGUCGUUAUUAGAUAAUAUUAAAAGGUUUUUAAUUAUCUAAAUAUACUUUUUUUAUAAUAUAUCAGAUCAAGGUGUAGCUUAUAAGCACGAGUUGAAUGAGCUACAUUUUAAUUCAUAAAUAACGGAAUUUGAUUUUAAAUAAUCAGUGGAAGGUGGAUUUAAUAGUAAUUA